UUUCUCAGGAGAAGGGGAACUUGAUCGUGAACACAACCGGAAGUAGACAUAGCUAGCUAGUGGUUCAAGGGUUCAAGGCAGAUAGCUAGGUUUUCUAUAAUUCCCUGAAACAUGAUAACUACAGAAGUAUGAUGCAUUUCCAUGCAUCGGAUGGUGUAAAGACGGUGCGUGAUCCUUGAACAUUUUACAAGUAGCUCAUGCUUCUUUGACAGAACCUGUCUGACCUGCUGCAGCUGUCUGCUUCACCAUGCCGCUGGUGUUGGACGCAGUGUGGGCGCUGUGGAGCAUUGGAGCUGGCGUCUAUGACUACUUUCACACCAGUGCCAUGGAAGAGAGGAUCCACACACUGGAAAACGUCCUCUCGAUCCACCAGUUUGUGAUUGCAGGCCUGUCGGCAGGCCUCAUCCUGCUCAUAACCUACGUACUCUGGAGAAAACACUGAAACCACACUAACCAAGGCUACGCUCCCCCCUACAAAAUGUUUUGUUGCAGGAUAUCAUGCGUUACCCUGAGUUCUUUCCAUGCCUGUGCUGUCCAGAGUGACAGUUUGGAUUAUGUGACUGCUCACACUUGAAGAUCAAGCAUGUUCAGCAACAAUCAGGACGUCCCAGAU